GACGAACGCUGGCGGCGUGCUUAACACAUGCAAGUCGAGCGGUAAGGCCCUUUCGGGGGUACACGAGCGGCGAACGGGUGAGUAACACGUGGGUGACCUGCCCUCAGCUCUGGGAUAAGCCUGGGAAACUGGGUCUAAUACUGGAUAUGACUCCACGGUGCAUGUCGUGGGGUGGAAAGCCUUGUGCGGCUGAGGAUGGGCCCGCGGCCUAUCAGCUUGUUGGUGGGGUGANGGCCUACCAAGGCGACGACGGGUAGCCGGCCUGAGAGGACGACCGGCCACACUGGGACUGAGACACGGCCCAGACUCCUACGGGAGGCAGCAGUGGGGAAUCUUGCGCAAUGGGCGAAAGCCUGACGCAGCGACGCCGCGUGAGGGAUGACGGCCUCGG
rnacentral:rRNA from 1 species